rnacentral:rRNA from 1 species
UACGUAGGGUGCAAGCGUUAAUCGGAAUUACUGGGCGUAAAGCGUGCGCAGGCGGUGAUGUAAGACCGAUGUGAAAUCCCCGGGCUUAACCUGGGAACUGCAUUGGUGACUGCAUCGCUAGAGUAUGGCAGAGGGGGGUGGAAUUCCACGUGUAGCAGUGAAAUGCGUAGAGAUGUGGAGGAACACCGAUGGCGAAGGCAGCCCCCUGGGCC